rnacentral:rRNA from 1 species
CAGCGGCGGAAGGGAGAGGAAUAAGUAGAAAUCUGCCCUCGGGACGGGGAUAGCGGCGGGAAACUGCCGGUAAUACCCGAUAACAUCUUUGGAUCAAAUGGUGUGAUUCCGCCUGAGGAUGAGUCUACUUCCUAUUAGCUAGUUGGUGUGGUAAUGGCUCACCAAGGCAACGAUGGGUAGCGGGUGUGAGAGCACGAUCCGCCUCACUGGGACUGAGACACUGCCCAGACACCUACGGGUGGCUGCAGUCGAGAAUCUUCGGCAAUGGGGGGAAACCCUGACCGAGCGACGCCGCGUGCGGGAUGAAGGCCCUCGGGUUGUAAACCGCUGUCGUAAGGGAACAAAUCUAAGAGGGUACUCCCUUUUAGUUGAGUGAUCUUAGGAGGAAGGACGGGCUAAGUUCGUG